rnacentral:lncRNA from 1 species
UUUGCUUGGUCUGAUCUCACCUUCCUCUGUGCCGACUUCCCUCUCCUAUAAAUACAAUGUUCUUGCUUCGGUUUUCUUCACUGGCUAGAUGAAACGUUUUCUAUCGGGGUCUACUCUCUGUCAGGUUUAAAAAGUUUUCCUGUCAGGUUUUCGUCUUAGUUAUUUGUCUCAUAUCUCUGUAUGUUAUUAAUAAAUUAUAAAUGUUUGUAUCUAAACUAAAAAGGGGCUUCUGGGCAUCGUUAUGCAUAUGUAUUUGAAUUCGUUCAUACUGCUGAUUUAGUUUUAUAGAAAAGUCUUUCUAUUCAUGUUGUUCUUUAGUGAUAGCCUCUUAUGUUCUGUAUUUCGCAUGUUACAUAACAAUACCAUAUUGAUUCCUAUUUGGAAAGGCACCUAACUUUAGGAGACUUGGAUGGUGCUCUAUUGCAAAGAGAAGAGUCGAAGCAUGUACUGCAUAUAUAUGUAUAUGUAUGGAUGUAUGUCUAUUGUUAAAUGAAUAAGCAUGCUGGUAAACUGUUUUAUGAACAGUUUAAUUUAUACAUAUUACUUGAAUGGUUUUGAAGGCAAAAGGCUUUUGAAUAAGCACUAUACAUGUUUGCUAUUUACGAAACUAUUUUGUACAGCAUUAUAGUCAACCAAAUGACUUUUGAAUUGAGUUAUUUUAAAUAAGAAGAAUUUUAUUUUCCAACCCGUUUCAGUUUUACUUUAAUUAUUUAGUUUUUUAGCUCGCGCGCCGGAUUCAGUUCGAGAUUUUUCCUAUUGACCCUGGGUCCGAGGUGUGACAGAAUGGUAUCAGAGCAUAGGGAUUAGACACCCUUGGGAAAGUUGUGUUACCAAUUAAAUAGUCAGUUGAACUAAAAGAGGUAGAGCAUUUCUGUUUUGUGGUAUUAGUUUUGUCAAGUCUUUUGUUUGGACUUGAAUUCAUUUGACUGAGAGACUAGUAGGUCUAGUUAGUGGGUAGUAAUAUGGGUUGUUAGGUCUUAACGUAGUUGGAAGUAAAGUGUCAUUGUUUGCUUUACUGCUGUGAUAUGUUGAAAUUUUAUUCGGCUUAUGUGGUACAUAUUACUUGUGUUGUGAAUACUGAUAGGAGCAUAUUUAUGCGCCGUAGUUAGCUAGUUCUUAUGCAUUUUUGUUAUGUUUUCUUAGUUAAAGUAGUCUUUUAAGCUAUUUUCAUGUGUUUUCAGGUUUUAAAGGCGUAUUAUACAAAAUGAUGCAAAUUGGAGCUUUUUGGAGCAAAAGUGAGCUUAGAGUGAAUAGCACAUGCUUGGAAUAAAAGGUUUGGACAAAAUUGAAGAUUUGAGGAUUCCUAGUCCAAGAAGGAUUCCUAAUCAACGAAGGAGUUCUAAUUGAAGAAGGAUUCCUAAUCAACGAGGGAUUCCUAGUUGAAGAUGGAUUCCUAGAAGAAUGAAGAUUCCUACUCAAACAAGGUUUCCUAUUUUGAGUUGAACUUUCCUAAACCUAGAUGGCCUUAAGUUCCAGAUAUUUUGAAGGUUUCCUAAGCAUUUUUUGAGACAAAAGAAGGUUUUAGAACACUCCCCAUAAGGUGCCGCACCAAUUCCUUCUAGAUGACCUAUUUUCCUUGCCUUGCAAGGCUUUCUAGAAGCCUUAUCCUUCAUUCCCUAUCCAGCCGCACCUCCUUGCCCUUUUCCCUUGAGGAUUCUAAUUUCUUAGCCUUUUUCCUUGUGGAUUUGGAUUCUAGAAAUCCAUAUCUGAUUCCCUUAGGGUUUUAAGUGCCUAUAUAUACUCAUAUUAACCCUUUGGCCAAAUUACCACCUCUCAUACACAUCAAUUCACGCCAGAAAUCAUCCCUUGCUCUCUGCCGCACCCUUCCACCACCAUAUUCCAUAAUUUCUGCCCAAAAUCAUCCCUAGCCGCACCACCCAUCAACCCUAGACACCACCACAUAUCCCCCAUCCAUUCUACACCAUUCAUAACCCCAAACCUGUCCACAACCUUUGUGCCGCAGCAAGGAGAAAGGAAGGAACUUCGUGGAUGCACUUGCUGUCCAAGUUGGAGUAUCUAGGUGUUUUCUUUCUUUGGAUUUCAAUGUUUAAACUUAUUUAUCUUUGCUUUGUGCAUAUGAGGAACUAAACCCCCCCUUGGCUAGGGGGGAUUCGAAACCAUGUUUAUGCUUGCUAUAUGAUUUGAUUACUUCUAAUUACAUUUCAUAAGUUGUGAAUUCAAUUUGCUUAUCUACAUGAAUUAAAACUGAUUUGUGUGUGUUGGUUGAGAGUGCACGCUUAAUUUUCAUGCAUAAGUUUAAUGCUAGGAUAUAAGGGAUUUUCACCUAAUCGUUAUGAACUUAUAUUCACAAGUAGUAAAGGUUGUUGAUCACAAUCGUGUGAAGUAAAUUCUUGGCAUAAGUUUCAUGCGCUUUCAUUGUAACAAGUGCCUCGCCAAUGCUUAUGAUUUCCAUAGAACUUAAUAAUCUUUGAUUGUUUAUCUAUUAUGCGCUUUCAUGUAGGUAACUUUUAAGGAAUAAUUUGAUUGUGAUGCGCUAUUUCCAUUCAAUUCAAUAACUAAAGGGAAAUCUGAAAGUUAAUUUAAGCGUACCUAAUUAACUUGGGGUGUUGGGAAUUCAUGGUUUAUUGAGAAGCAAUUGGAAAUCGUUUUGUAUGCAAGUGUGACAUGUGUGGAGAAGAACCCCUCAGCUAGCUUCCCAUCCAUUCACUUUUAUCAAAUUCGUUUUGGAAUCUGUUCAAUUUACAAAGUUUCUGUUUUGUUUUUAAAUUCGUCUAAAAUCAAUCCCCCUUUAUUUUGUUGAGUCAUCUUAGUUAGAAGUCAAUUUAGUUUAUGUUUUUAAGUGUCUUGGGUCAAGUUACAACCUAUUUUCGUCCAAAUUGUGUUUUGUGUUCAAAACUGCCCAGAAAGUGUUUUUAAGGCAGUUUUGAGUGUUUCUGAGCUGUUUUGAGUCUUUUGGUUUGUUUUAGUGUUUUAGAGUUUAGUUUUGUAUUCUUUGAGUCUAGUUUAGUGUUUUAAACUUUGCUUUUACGUGUUGAGUCAAUUUUCAAGUGAUUGAGCAAUCCCUCCUAAUCCCCGGCCUAGAACGAUCCCUACUUACAUACUUUGCUACAAUUGAUAAAAAGAGGGUUUAAUUUGUGUGCUUAUAUAUUUCACAUCAAAUACUCAGUAGAAGUGGAAGACCCGUAUUAAAAAAAAAAAUCUUUAAUUUGUUAGUGUUUUCUUCACCCGUGUGUCCAACUAUUCUAUAGUUUUCCUAACUGCCGAGUGAUAGACGUUUAGAAUUGAAUUGAAAUGUUGAGAUGAUUGUCAAAGCAAAAGCUGGCAAUAUGCGUGAUAUUCUACCUACUUAAGUAGUUGACCCCUACUGCAUUCAAAUGAGUGAGUAAGCUAUCUAUUAGCUUGAGUUCGUGCUAAUCAAGUUGGAAGCUGGAAUGGGUUUGCCACAAGGUGGAAUAGGUGUCACACCACUAAAUCCAAAGCCAUCUGGCUUUACAAGUUGCUUUUUGUAGGAAAGAUCUUAUUCCGUUCUGGUAAGUCUAUCCAUUCCACUCUCGCAUUUCCCCUAGUAUAAAUAAAGACCAGGGUUUCAGCUGCAAACUAAACUCAGAAACAGAGAGAGAGGUUUCAUCAAAAUCUAUGGCGUCUAAAUCAUGAAACAAUCACGAAUACAUAUGUCGUAAGCCUGUAGCUCACAAAGCUUUGGUAAUUAUUUUCAUAUUCCCUGUAUUUUGUUAGUGGCUAUACUAUGACUUUCUUAAUAUGUUGUUAAUGUUAUGCAGUAUUGUGAUUGACAACUUAAUUUGUACAAAUGUUUCUUUCCACAUCUUAAUCCAUUUGGUUUUAUGCACUGCAUAUUUGUGUUGGCCGUUUUCAUACGAAAGAUGAAAGGGCUGUGUGAUAUCAGUUGAUCUACCGAUUCAUUUUAAAAAGAAAAUAUAUUUUGACAUAAUACCUUGAUAAGUUUAUGACAUAUCCCCAGUUUUCCCUUAUAUUUUCUAUAGCUAUUUUCAUGUCUAUCCAUCAUGUUGUUUUUAAUUUUAUAUAAUGGUUUAUCUGUCAUGGAUUUGUGAGUUUCCAUGUUAGUUAUCAAGCUACAUACCUUUAUGCUAUAUAUGGGUUUCAAUUAUAUAUGAAGUAAAGCAUGUAUUUAGUGCUGGAAAUGAUUAUAUAUGUUGGAUAUACAUACAUAAGCAUGUACGUAUAUAUACAUGUGUUUCAUUAGAGGCAUUUCUAUAGUAAUGUUCCUUUUGUUAUGAGUAUGUUGUUUUAGAUUAACCAAAAUCACUUUUGAAUUGAGUGCUGUACUUCAUUUCACUGGUUGAUUACCAUUGUUUCCGUUAUGUUAGUUCGUUGGGAUUCAACCAAUUAGCUGGAGGACGAGAUUACCAAUCACCAGUCUUUAGGUAGUGCAUGGUGUUCAAUGAUCUCAUGAAUCCUAGGGUGGUGGUUACCAAUUAAACCAUAUCUUGAGAUAGAGAGUAUGAAUACUCGUACUAAUCUGUUUGCUUGGUUCGCAAACAUCACCUCUCUUAUGAGAUGGACUAUCUUGAAAUUUUUGGUUGAAGAUUGUCUUAGAAUUAAGAGUUAAAGGUUGUCUGAGAUACAAGUGACUCUUUUAAAUGUAGGUUCAAAGUCAAAGUUUUGACUACUAGAAGUAGUCAUUUAUUCGAUAAAGUUUCGGAGAAGAAACAAAUUCACAUGUGAUCCAUGUUAUUCAUUGAAUUUUCAUGGAUUAAUUCUAUGGUGGUGAUUGGAGCACAAGUUUCUGUUAGGGUCCAUUAGAUGACUUAGGAGUAUUUCUAUGCUUGCAUAGUUUUGCAAACACCACAUUUCUUUCAGAAAAGAAUUAGUUGGGAACCGUCCUAAAUUUAUAAGAUGGGGGAUGUCUUAGAACUUUGAUGUAAGAGACUCUCUUAGACAGGAGUUUAAAAUUAAGGUUUGGAUUUACUGAGUAUUUAUUAGUUCGAUUAUGUUACGAAGAGGAAUCCAACUCACAUGUGACUCACUCCUACUCAUAAAGGUAAUGGUUAAGUGACAUUCUCAUUCCUACACGAGUUGGUAUUAUAUACAUGGUGAUUCAUUCCUAUACAACUGGGGUUGUAUGAUGAACUACUUAAAUGUCAUUCCUACACAAUUUUGGAUUGUGUGAUGAGUAUAUUAUAUUUCAUUCCUACACAACUUCUGGUUGUGUGAUGAAUCAUUGAACUUUAUUCCUACACAAUUAUUGGUUGUGUGAUAAGUUUGAUAAAUUUCAUUCCUACAUAGCUAUGGGCUAUGUGAUGAAUUUGACAAAGAACUUCAUUCCUACAUGACUUACGGUUGUGUGAUGAGACUACUGAUCCUCAUUCCUAUAUAGCUUCAGGCUAUAUGAUGAGUAAAACGAAGUCACGAAUGUUGUGUGGUGAGAAUAAAAGAAUUAAAUAGUGGAGCUAAGUGAUGGGUCACAUUUAUGAAUGUUGUUAUACUAGGCAGCCAUUAGGGAUACUACUUGAAGUACUAUUUCGUUUGGAAACUACAUUUAGAUCAAGGAAAUGGAUUCACUCAAAUCCAAUUAGUGGUGUUGAGGUUAGGUUAGACCGCUUGUUAAUUACUAGUGUUUUUCUUGAGAUUGAUAUUAGAGGCAACUAGUGUUGGGAUUGUGAGUUGAGCUUUGGGAUUGAGCUUUUGGUUUCCUGAUAAUUGUCUGGGUAAAUGGUUUUUAAAAAUCAUUUUGUUAGUACAGAAGAAAAUGAUUUCGCUCCAAAUGCAAAUUUUGUGUUUCAUUUCAAAACUUUCAUCCGCUCGUUUUGAAAAAGAAAAAGAUAUGGCCCUUAUGUUUUUAAUGGAAGGGUUAUGUUCAAUUUUAUUGUUGCUUGAAAAGAAAACUUAUUUUUUGGCAUAUAUCCGUUUUACUAUUCAGUGGACUGUACAAUGUUAAAACUAUAUGAAGGGAAUAAUUUCUGGAGUUGGAAGGCAAAAUACAUAGAGAAUUGCAAUCCACUUGAAAUGGAAGGGUAAUCUCUAUGCAACUACUCUGGUUGGAUAUUCUCUUAGCUUUCUUCAACUACUAUUAUAUAUUGUUUAUUGAGUAAGGUCUUAUAAAUUUCGAGGACGAAAUUUCUUUUAAGAAGGGUAGAUUGUGAGACCUGUAUUUUCAAAAAUAAUUAUAUAUAAUUAUGUGUUGUAUAUACUUAUUAGUUUCAGAAAGUUUUGUAUUACUUCUUAUUUAAUCGUUAAUUCCUUUAUUUCAUUUUUCUAUACUCUAAUUUACUAUUAUUUUGAAUCAAAUAAGUUCAGUAUACAUAUUUGAACUAUAUAUUCAUAUUAUUCAUUUUCUUUCCUUUUACAUUAUUUUAUUAAGCUGUUUGUUCUAUUCUAAUUGGACCAAAAUCAUAGCCAAUUAAAGGGCUUUUACAUCAUUCCUAUCGAUAGCUUUUAGGUGGUGUAAGUUUGCUUGGUCUGAUCUCACCUUCCUCUGUGCCGACUUCCCUCUCCUAUAAAUACAAUGUUCUUGCUUCGGUUUUCUUCACUGGCUAGAUGAAACGUUUUCUAUCGGGGUCUACUCUCUGUCAAGUUUAAAGAGUUUUCCUUUCAGGUUUUCGUCUUAGUUAUUUGUCUCAUAUCCCUCUAUGUUAUUAAUAAAUUAUAAAUGUUUGUAUCUAAACUAAAAAGGGGCUACUGGGCAUCGUUAUGCAUAUGUAUUUGAAUUCGUUCAUACUGCUGAUUUAGUUUUAUAGAAAAGUCUUUCUAUUCAUGUUGUUCUUUAGUGAUAGCCUCUUAUGUUCUGUAUUUCGCAUGUUACAUAACAAUACCAUAUUGAUUCCUAUUUGGAAAGGCACCUAACUUUAGGAGACUUGGAUGGUGCUCUAUUGCAAAGAGAAGAGUCGAAGCAUGUACUGCAUAUAUAUGUAUAUGUAUGGAUGUAUGUCUAUUGUUAAAUGAAUAGCAUGCUAGUGAAUGGUUUUAUGUACAGUUUAUUUAUAUAUAUUACUUGAAUGGUUUUGAAGGCAAAAGGCUUUUGAAUAAGCACCAUACAUGUUUGCUAUAUACGAAACUAUUUUGUACAGCAUUAUAGUCAACCAAAUGACUUUUGAAUUGAGUUAUUUUAAAUAAGAAGAAUUUUAUUUUCCAACCCGUUUCAGUUUUACUUUAAUUAUUUAGUUUUUUAGCUCGCGCGCCGGAUUCAGGUUCGAGAUUUUUCCUAUUGACCCCGGGUCUAGGGUGUGACAUCUUCUCAGACACCACUCUUGACUCCAAAACGUGUUGAAAACAUUACUGCUACCUCCUAAACACUAAUAGGAUCUUACAAAGAUUAUGGUUCUAUGCAUGAUCACUUUAGAAAGGACAAAGGGAGUAUAACAAGUUAAUAUUUACUUUUCCUUAUUAUCAUUCUAUACUAUAUACUAUAUAUUAUCAUAAUAUCAAUGGUGUGAAUUUAUCGCCCUUCUUCUAUUAACAUAUAUAUGUGAAUGAUGCUAAAUUAAAGUCUUUGUCACAAAUUUUAUUUAUUUAAAGUAAUUUAUUUACAGUAUGUGAAAUUAUCACCAUUGACUUUAAGUUUUGAUAUUUACGUAAAUAAAGUUGAAUUAAAGCCCUUCUCACAAAAAUCUUUCAAUUAAGCCAACAUUGUCACAUCCCAGAUCGGUUCCGCCGUAGCACGAUAUUGUCCGCUUUGGGCUCCAGCCAUGCCCUCAUGGCUUUGUUUUUGGGAACUCACAUGAGAACUUCUCAGUGGGUCACCCAUCCUAGGAAUGCUCUCACCCGAACUCGCUUAACUUCGGAGUUUCGAUGGAACCCGAAGCCAGUGAGUUCCCAAAAGACUUCGUGCCAUAUGGAGGUGGGCAUGUACAUAUAAGGCACAUCACCCCCUCUCCGUUGGUCAAUGUGAGAUGUUACUGUUGGAAAUGUGCCCUAAAACCAAUCAUAUGAUGAUACUUUACGGACAUUUCAAAUGUUAAACUAAUCUA